rnacentral:tRNA from 1 species
GAAAGGGUGCUGCAUUUGGGAGCAGAAGACCUGGGUUCAAAUCUCAGCCCUGUCA